GUGGGGAAUCUUGCGCAAUGGGCGAAAGCCUGACGCAGCCAUGCCGCGUGAAUGAUGAAGGUCUUAGGAUUGUAAAAUUCUUUCACCGGGGACGAUAAUGACGGUACCCGGAGAAGAAGCCCCGGCUAACUUCGUGCCAGCAGCCGCGGUAAUACGAAGGGGGCUAGCGUUGCUCGGAAUUACUGGGCGUAAAGGGCGCGUAGGCGGACAGUUUAGUCAGAGGUGAAAGCCCAGGGCUCAACCGUGGAAUUGCCUUUGAUACUGGCUGUCUUGAGUACGGGAGAGGUGAGUGGAACUCCGAGUGUAGAGGUGAAAUUCGUAGAUAUUCGGAAGAACACCAGUGGCGAAGGCGACUCACUGGCCCGUUACUGACGCUGAGGCGCGAAAGCGUGGGGAGCAAACAGGAUUAGAUACCCCUGUAGUCC
rnacentral:rRNA from 1 species